GCAAACAACGCCUGCUUUCCACACCCUGCCUUCUUUUCUCAGAGGAGGAAGAGAGAAGAGGGGAGGGCAGAGCCCCGAGCCCAGUCCAGCCGGUGUCAAUUCAGCGGGAGCGUCCCUUGGCCCCAGAUCCUCGCGCGGGGCGUGGACCCCAGGGACCACUUUUACUUACCUCCCUGCCGAGUUUGCAGUCAGCAUCCCGGCUCCUAUUAUUAGCUCGAUUCUUCAUCCUAUUCACCCCUUGCCGCUAAGCCUCCAGAGCCCUUGAGCCGCGCGCAGGUGGAGCAAGCGCCCCUGCUCUCCGGUGCCCCCUGCCGGGGAGAGGGAAAGCGGCGGCGGCGGCAGAGAAGCAGCGCUCAGGGAGGGGAGAGCGAGCUCCGGAGCGGGGAAGAAGCCGGGAGCUUCCCUGAUGGUGCCGCCGCCUCCUUCCAGCCGGGGAGGAGCAGCCAGGAGGCAGCUGCGCAGGAGCCUGGGUCCGCUGCUGUUGCUCCUGGCGCUGGGACACACGUGGACCUACAGAGUGGAGCCCGAGGACGCCGACAGAGAAAUCUGCUCAGAAAACAAAAUCGCGACUACCAAAUAUCCUUGCCUGAAGCCCUCCGGCGAGCUCACCACGUGCUUCAGGUAAGCGCACCUUGACUGGAUGGGAUGGCAGCGCGGCCAAGGAGGGAUUAGGGGACACGCUGCUGGGCAAGUAGGGGCCGCUUAUAUGCUCAAUGUGCGGGGUGCAUGCUCCUUGGGAACAGAUUUGAUAUGCACCCGAGCAUUGCCAGGCAUCCGUGAUUGAGCCGACCGGGUGUGCCCUGAGGUCCUGACUGUGUUUAACGCUCCCUGAAUACUUUCGUGGUGGAGGGCAGAGGGGAAAGCGGUGCACGUUGAUGGCAAGUGGACUGGACCUUGAGUGUAAACAGCAGGGGUAGCCAAGACGAAUGGCUGUUUUUGGAGUUGCGCUUUGUUUUGUAAAUACAAAGUCAACAAGGAAAUACUUGGCAUUUGGCUGUCUCUUGACCUUGUGUCAGGACAGAGGUAUCACACGCAUGGUCAAGGCCUCUGUGGCAGAAGGGGGGGCGGAUUAUGGGUGGAUGAUGUGGCUGUGUUGAGGGAAAACAACAAACUUCAGGACUUUGAACUUCGAGAAAACAAAUAAUCUUUCUGAAAAUAUGGUCCACGGAGCCACCUGGGUGCUUAUUACAUCAAUAACUACAGGCCGAACAGGGAUAGAGAAUCUAGUUUUAAACUGCUACCCAGGUGGGAACAGUAAGAACAGGUGGUUGGUUUUUUUUUUUUUUUUUUUUUUGGUAACCGAGGAUCGAAUUCGGGACCUUGUACUUUCGAGGCAGGCGCUGGAACCACUGAGCUAAAUCCCUGGCCCAAGAACAGGUGGUUUUUAUUCCCUGAAGGAGAGAGUCAUACUUUCCUGCUUGCAGCCUUUCCAAAGUGUGAGGAUUGAGUUGCUUUGUUUAGUCAUUGAAUUCUUGUUUUCUCUCCUGGUCUCCCCUUGGAUGGAGGAGCCACAUGCCCA
rnacentral:lncRNA from 1 species